GGGAUGAUGGUGGAAUCGGUAGACACAGCAGACUUAAAAUUUGCUGCUCGAAAGGGCGUCCGGGUUCAAGUCCCGGUCAUCCCA
rnacentral:tRNA from 1 species